GACGAACCGUGCGAACGUUGUUCGGAAUCACUGGGCUUAAAGGGCGCGUAGGCGGGCUGUCGCGUCUGGGGUGAAAUCCUCCGGCUCAACCGGGGAAGGGCCUCGGGUACGGACGGCCUCGAGGGGGGUAGGGGCGUGCGGAACUGUGGGUGGAGCGGUGAAAUGCGUUGAUAUCCACAGGAACUCCGGUGGCGAAGGCGGCACGCUGGACCCUCUCUGACGCUGAGGCGCGAAAGCGUGGGGAGCAAACAGG
rnacentral:rRNA from 1 species